UGCAAGUCGAACGCUUCAGCAAUGAAGAGUGGCAGACGGGUGAGUAACGCGUGGGAACCUUCCCAGUGGUACGGAAUAGCCCAGGGAAACUUGGGGUAAUACCGUAUAAGCCCUUAGGGGGAAAGAUUUAUCGCCAUUGGAUGGGCCCGCGUCGGAUUAGCUUGUUGGUGAGGUAAAAGCUCACCAAGGCGACGAUCCGUAGCUGGUCUGAGAGGAUGAUCAGCCACACUGGGACUGAGACACGGCCCAGACUCCUACGGGAGGCAGCAGUGGGGAAUAUUGGACAAUGGGCGCAAGCCUGAUCCAGCCAUGCCGCGUGAGUGACGAAGGCCUUAGGGUUGUAAAACUCUUUUGGCGGGGACGAUAAUGACGGUACCCGCAGAAUAAGCUCCGGCUAACUUCGUGCCAGCAGCCGCGGUAAUACGAAGGGAGCUAGCGUUGUUCGGAAUUACUGGGCGUAAAGCGCACGUAGGCGGACUUGUUAGUCAGGGGUGAAAUCCCGGGGCCCAACCUCGGAACUGCCUUUGAUACUGCAAGUCUGGAGUCCGGAAGAGGUGGGUGGAAUUCCUAGUGUAGAGGUGAAAUUCGUAGAUAUUAGGAAGAACACCGGUGGCGAAGGCGGCCCACUGGUCCGGUACUGACGCUGAGG
rnacentral:rRNA from 1 species